GACGAACGCUGGCGGCGUGCUUAACACAUGCAAGUCGAACGGAAAGGCCCUGCUUUUGUGGGGUGCUCGAGUGGCGAACGGGUGAGUAACACGUGAGUAACCUGCCCUUGACUUUGGGAUAACUUCAGGAAACUGGGGCUAAUACCGGAUAGGAGCUCCUGCUGCAUGGUGGGGGUUGGAAAGUUUCGGCGGUUGGGGAUGGACUCGCGGCUUAUCAGCUUGUUGGUGGGGUAGUGGCUUACCAAGGCUUUGACGGGUAGCCGGCCUGAGAGGGUGACCGGCCAAAUUGGGACUGGGAUAAGGCCCAGACUCCUACGGGAGGCAGCAGUGGGGAAUAUUGCACAAUGGGCGGAAGGCUGAUGCAGCAACGCCGCGUGCGGGAUGACGGCCUUCGGGUUGUAAACCGCUUUCGCCUGUGACGAAGCGUGAGUGACGGUAAUGGGUAAAGAAGCACCGGCUAACUACGUG
rnacentral:rRNA from 1 species